UAGGGAAUCUUCCGCAAUGGGCGAAAGCCUGACGGAGCAACGCCGCGUGAGUGAUGAAGGUCUUCGGAUCGUAAAACUCUGUUAUUAGGGAAGAACAAAUGUGUAAGUAACUAUGCACGUCUUGACGGUACCUAAUCAGAAAGCCACGGCUAACUACGUGCCAGCAGCCGCGGUAAUACGUAGGUGGCAAGCGUUAUCCGGAAUUAUUGGGCGUAAAGCGCGCGUAGGCGGUUUUUUAAGUCUGAUGUGAAAGCCCACGGCUCAACCGUGGAGGGUCAUUGGAAACUGGAAAACUUGAGUGCAGAAGAGGAAAGUGGAAUUCCAUGUGUAGCGGUGAAAUGCGCAGAGAUAUGGAGGAACACCAGUGGCGAAGGCGACUUUCUGGUCUGUAACUGACGCUGAUGUGCGAAAGCGUGGGGAUCAAACAGGAUUAGAUACCCUGGUAGUCCACGCCGUAAACGAUGAGUGCUAAGUGUUAGGGGGUUCCGCCCCUUAGUGCUGCAGCUAACGCAUUAAGCACUCCGCCUGGGGAGUACGACCGCAAGGUUG
rnacentral:rRNA from 1 species